rnacentral:rRNA from 1 species
UACGUAGGGGGCAAGCGUUGUCCGGAUUUAUUGGGCGUAAAGCGCGUGUAGGCGGCCAGAUAGGUCUGCUGUGAAAACUCGAGGCUCAACCUCGAGAUGUCGGCGGAAACCGUCUGGCUAGAGUCCGGAAGAGGAGAGUGGAAUUCCUGGUGUAGCGGUGAAAUGCGCAGAUAUCAGGAAGAACACCUAUGGCGAAGGCAGCUCUCUGGGACGGUACUGACGCUGAGACGCGAAAGCGUGGGGAGCGAACAGG